AAAUCAUUAGUACAUGUCUUUAGUACACAUUUUUAGUACACGUCUUUAGUACGCCGCGUCUUUAGUACAAAUCAUUAGUACACAUCUUUAGUACACGUCUUUAGUACACGUCUUUAGUACACGUCUUUAGUACACAUCUUUAGUACACAUCUUUAGUACACGUCUUUAGUACACGUCUUUAGUACGCGUCUUUAGUACAAAUCAUUAGUACAUGUCUUUAGUACACGUCUUUAGUACACGUCUUUAGUACACAUCUUUAGUACGCGUCUUUAGUACACGUCUUUAGUACACAUCUUUAGUACGCGUCUUUAGUACACAUCUUUAGUACACAUCUUUAGUACGCGUCUUUAGUACACAUCUUUAGUACACAUCUUUAGUACACGUCUUUAGUACACAUUUUUAGUACGCGUCUUUAGUACACAUCUUUAGUACACAUCUUUAGUACACGUCUUUAGUACACAUUUUUAGUACACGUCUUUAGUACACAUCUUUAGUACACAUCUUUAGUACACGUCUUUAGUACACAUUUUUAGUACACGUCUUUAGUACACUUCGUGGACUUGGGAUUUGGGGCAUUAAGUAGCACAUUAAUAAAUGUACCGUUUGUUGCCAAAUCUGACAAACUGUUUUAGAGCAACUCAACUUUUAACUCAUCUUACAUUACAGGUCAAUUAGCUGACGCUUUUAUCCAAAGCGACUUACAUUACAUUUUGAGGUUAGGUGUGUUGCUCAGGGACAUGGGGGCAGCUGGGACUCGAACCACCAACCUUGCGGUUCCCAGCGCACCCUCCCUGCGCCUUAUUAAUGUGAAUCAUGAUUUUUUGUCCCUCAGAUGGACCUUUCUAUCUUGCACCAUUAUUAUGUUUCAGAUUUACCUUGAAUCAACAGUACUUUGAGAACGAGUAUCCAUUUAUAAUUAUAAUAUUAUAGCUCUUCAUUCUCUCUCUCUCAAAAGGCAGAUUUUGUUAAAGUGAAGGACACAUUUUUGGAAAUUAUUUUACUAGAGUUUAGGCGGGAUCACCAGAAUUUAGUUUUUGGAUCAUUGUGGAGCAUUUGCGUUUUCUUAUGUGCCAAAGUAUUUAUUUCACUUGUAUAUCACCAGUAGUGUUCACUACACCCCAAUACAUCAGUGUAGGGCUUUAAUAAAAGAAUUAAACCAGAUUUCCUCGUAAUUUACCAUGAAAAAUGACAAAAAAAUCGACACAAAAUGUCUCUUCAGUGCACAGGGCUGUUUCUCUGCGACGGAUUGGCUGCUUACCGUGAUUGACAGCUCAUGGGAAUCGUUAGAGCCUAUAGAAUUGGGCCAUUUCCAGUAUCCUAACGUUGACAGCACCAAUCAGGAUCACCAGAGCAGCUCCAUGGGGAACGAUAGGCGGACACGUCGCCUUUGGACCUUCCACCAAUGAACAGAAGCUUCUAGAAGCUUCUGAGCGGCUAACAGGAAGUUGGCGUCUCACAGGCAAGCAAACACUUUGCUCGGCUAAAUGCUACGGUAAGGGACAUUUUACUACCGUCUGUGGCCAAAAUGAAUCCCUGUUGUGGAUGUUCUUUGGUUCGACAAAGGUUUUACCGGAGAGGAGUGAGCCGUAACUUGACGUCAUAGCUGUUGAAUCUGAAGACUUUUUUUCUGUCGAGACGCUAUUUUACUUUAGCCAAGGUAAGCUAGCGCUGAGCUACGAAUGUUUUGACUACCGCUUGUCCAAGUUGUGUCACGUGAGUCAUGACGUUUGGUCAUUUGUGUAACAGUCGUGUGUUUUCAGUUGUGUUUGGAGCGCGUCCAUUUGCCUAAUACAGCACUCUGCUGCGUCACUUUAUUCUUUGGUGGUUGGUUUAUUGUUUGACGCUUUGAACGCCUCUCAGAAACCAACCCAGACUCUCUGGGCUCAGGAGCUCCUGCUCCCCUGGGGAUGAACCCCCCCUUUCUGUUGGCUGCUGCCUUUCUUUUAUACUUCAAUCAAUGUUCUUGCCUGUAUUUAAAUCUCUGCUUUAUGUUUGGAUCUUUUUAAUGGUUUGAUGGUUUUAGCACUUUGAAUCGCCUCGUUGUUGGAAUGUGCUGUUCAAAUAAAAUCGCCUUGCUUUUAGACCGUAAUGCCCAUUUCACAGGUGCCUUCCGCAGAUAGAUUAUUUUCAGGCCCACUUUAUGUAAAUGUUUUGACUAACCCUGACAUGAACACGUCAGAAACGCAGAGUAAAACCCAAUAAUGCAACAGUAACAGAACGUAACACACAUUUAAUUCCACAGAGAGAAACUGUGGAUCAAAGACGUUAAACAGCCGUGGCCGCUGAGCCCGACUACGCUAAUGAGGUGGAACAAGGUCGUUCUGGUCCUUUGACUUGUCAGGAAAACCCACACAGCGACUGAGGCCUCAUCAGGAGUCCGUGUGAGCCUCCAAUCCCCCCCCAGGUUCCCUCACCACGACAACCAAGGACCCCUCAAAAACCUGAGGACCACAAGCAGGUACUACUAUCGAUCCCAUCCCCCCCCCCCCCCCCCCCCACCGCCUUCAUUUACUGACCUCUAUAAAGCAUCUACAUCGAAUCUUAAUUGGAUAUUGAAGUUCGUUAAUUAAAACAUUAUCUCCGGCGAAACACAGCGGCUGGUCUGACGAGCUGAUCAAUGAGGAUGAGGGGAUGCUGUCUGCUCCGAGAACCGACGGGGGGGGGGAACGAAAUCACACACUCCAGGCUCGAGAGCGGCAAAUUAAAACGUUAAAGAGGAUUUCGGUCGAAUCUCCCGCCCUAUUUCGAUAUCUUGUGAGAUAUUUUGUUCAUCAAUGAAACUUUCAGGUCUCCUUUCAUGGCUGUGGAGAUAGCGUGUUGGUAUUUAGUCUGCUGGGGAUUAUCGGCCCCCAGGUUUCUGGUAGACUGAGUGAUGAAGAUGCAUUGUGGGCAAACCAAGGCCCUCAAACUUAACAAGACGUCUCGCUCAGUGACGUGAAGGUUUGAUGGACCGAGGCCUCUCGGAGUUAAUGCCUCGAUGCUUCUGCUGUCUCGUAAAAUAUAUUUCAUUUCAUUGUGUACUUCCAUGAUUAAGUCAAUAAAUGUGGCCACUGAUGAAUGCCGUUUUAUUUUAAAGUCACAUGACGUCUUGGAAGCGGUGACAUCAUUUCAGCCAUACUUUUCUCCGUUAUAAUUUGUUCAAAUAUUUCUGGUUUACUUUUUCAUAUUACGUCUUGCUUAUUGCAGAUUUCUCCAAUAUGCAGUAAUCUCUGUAAAGAUAUCAUGGUGCGACUCAAUCCUUUCUCCUCUCAGGACAUUUAUUUGCUGAACAAACUAUCAACACUGUGUUGCGACCUAAAAAAACGUAAAGAAACAUAAAACCACAAAAAUUCAGUUGAUUCUAAAAGUUUCUCCUUCUACAUAAGGCGGAGAUCUUCUCGAAGGACGUCUUCUCUCAGACACUGGUUGGAGUCGAUUAGUAGUGAGUUUCCCACAGUGCAUCAGGGCUGGAGAUGCCCUCCCCCCCCCAACACCUGUCAGGUCGCACGCCAACCAAUCGCCAUCUGAGCUGUGUUCUCUGACGCCAUCAAACAGCUGCACAGGUAGAUGCACAGAGAGACUCAUGCAAUCCGAUUGUUAUAGAGGAGGCGUGUGCGUCACACCGCAUCAUGCUAACGGCGCUCUGCAGCAGUGGAAGCUCCCGUGAUGAAUCCCAUCCUCUCUCUCUCUCUGCAACCAGCCCGUAAUGAAGGUGCAGGUUGUUUUGCCUCAUGGCCCUGAUGGGAAAACGUCCUAAAAGCCCUCGACUUUGAAGCGAUGUCCCCUGUGUCUCCAGGGGGACGCUCGGGUGCCGCUCUUCUCCUUUCAUUUCCCUGAUGUGUUCAGGAUUUCGGGGGAAAUUACCAGCCGUCCUACUGAGGGCGAUUUGUCUGCCGCGGCUCGGCGGCGGCGUGCGCUGGACGGGGGGGGGGCCUCUUUUUGAUGGGAUGUCAUGCUAUUCAUUAUGUAAUUGUUAGCGUGAUUAAGAGCCAGCGAUCUAUCAACGGCAGUGAAAUAAAGCUCACUUCCUGCGCACCAGCAAUGACGUGGCGCUUCAAACUUUCAAAGUUUUUAGCUAUUUUUAAUUUUAUGUUCACAGCAUAUUUCCCCUGAGCUUUGAAAGUAAAAAUAGCCAAAUAAACGUCUUUUGACGCGGAAUAUCGUUUUCACGUCUUCUUAAAAAAAGGACUUUAUGCACCUGUAAAACUGUUAGAAGUACGUUUAAUUGUGUUCUUCCUAAAAGCUUAAAAUAGAACAAUAAAGUUUGCCUUAUGCCUCCAGUAUGUGUGUGUGUGUGUGUGAGUGUGUGUGUGUGUGUAUAUAUAUAUAUAUAUAUAUAUAUAUAUAUAUACAUAUAUAUGUGUAUUGUAGACAGUGACUGUAGUUUGGUGAACAUAAACAUUCAUAAAGUACUUUUACGUACAACAAAUCCGCCCACACAAUCCUCACACUGCAAGUAAUGGAUCAGACCAAAGACCUUCUGGAGGUAGAAGAAGCUCUGCCAUCAUCUGGUCCAGUUAUUCGUGCUCUUCUGUCCCCUCUUGAUCUUUCCCAUUGAGCUUCAGCUGAAGGAACUCGAUGCUGCACAUGUAGUGAUGGGUUGGAGGUGGAGGGUGAAGGGGAGGUGUGGACGCCCCCCGCCCCUAUCUCCCACCUGUCUUCUCCUGCCUCCACCCGUCUCAUGCCGCCUCUUCUCCCCUUCGUUCGCUGUGCGUUUUUAAAGAACAUGAAAGUGCUUCAUCUCCCUUUCAUCUCCUUUGUUUCCUUGCCCUCCCUUGUGUCACCGCGUUUAUUCAAAACCUCUCUAAACAGCUGAGGGGGAUCUGCUGCAGGUCUUGCUGCAGUUGUUGAUCUACUGAAGACCCCUUCAGACCGGUAGUGGAAACAUCAAAGUCCGCAAAUAUAAUAAAAGCCCUCGAAGGAUUUGAACGGAGGCGCCGUAUUUUACAUUUAUGAACACAAUUCACCCUUCACAGAUAUGUGGGGCAGGCGGUCUGAACCCACAGGUGAUGGUGUAAACCAAUUAGGCAACUGUAGACGGGUGGAGGCGCCGCGUCCUUCUAAUGAUGUCUUGAUGCUAAUCGCAUGCAGAGAUCUUCUUUAAUUCAUUACGUUUAGUAGAGUGAUACAAUCCCUUCGCCUCCGGCGCCCGCGGUGGCUUUUCCUCGCUUCCAUCGACCAGCUGUGGUCCCGUCACGCAGCGGCCAGGGUUGGCCCGAGGCCGCCUCAUCACAUCUCAGAAGCCUCGUCCAUAAUUGAGCGCUCGCAAUCGCUCACGAGUCGGUUGCUGCGGUGCGGCCUUUGCGAGGAAGACUCUGCUGUCUCCAGCUUUUCUUCCUCCCGCGUCGUGUCCCCGGAAGAGACAACACGCAUCCAGCUGCGAUGACGUGAAGCGAGGCGCUGGGCAGAAGUCCGGGGUUCCACUCGGUGUCUUCAUGUGGCCUCCAGUGUGGAAACAUGAACCUCAGUCAGUGUUUUCCUCUCCCCUGUGUGUGUGUGCUGACAGACCCUCGUCUCCUUCCUCCUCCCCCGUGUGACUAAGCUUGGGCGGCAUCUUUAAAUAAAACUGGUUGCAUAAGAAUGAUUAGUGCCGAGCUUCCUGCCCUUACUAAGGUCAUAAAAUGAAUCCAUAAAGCACCAAAAAGGACCAAACCUGCUGUGAUAUUCAGCUGCUGGGUCUUAAAUGUCAGCAGCAAUAUUGAAGUGGUUGCAAACUUAAGAACAAAGGAGGGGAAGUCCGACCAAAACGAUGCGCCUGAAUCAUCUUUUGAGUAAUGCAUAAAAAUGGAUUUGUUUUUGCCGAUCAAUGCAGUGCGAGAAUCUGCCGGCCCGAGAAGGAUCAAUCUGCCGAGCCGCGUGCAGACCGAGG
ensembl:lncRNA